AUUAUCAGUAAAUAAUAUAUAUUUAUUAUAUAAUAUAAGAAAAAUAUACCCAUCUGUAUACAAAUAUUCUUGUUAUCCUAAUUUAUAAAUCACAAUCCCAAAUCUACAAUAUUUCUCAAGAAAAUAAAAACUUUCCAAAAAUAACAGUUUUUAAGGAAAUUAUUUAAAAAUACAAAAUAUUGAUGAAAAAUUCUUAAAGAAUAUUCAUCUAUCCACAAAUAUUCUUGUUAUCCUAUUUUCUAACUCACAAACUCAAAUUUACAAUAUUUAUCAAAAAGAUGAAAACUUUCCAAAAAUAACAGUUUUUAAGGAAAGUUAAUUAAAAAUACAACCUAUUGAUGAAAAAUUCAUAAAUAAUACUCAUCUAUCCACAAAUAUUCUUGUUAUCCUAUUUUCUAACUCACAAACUCAAAUUUACAAUAUUUAUCAAAAAGAUGAAAACUUUCCAAAAAUAACAGUUUUUAAGGAAAGUUAAUUAAAAAUACAACCUAUUGAUGAAAAAAAUACUCAUCUAUCCAAACUAUCCAAAAAUAUUCCUGUUAUCCUAAUUUAUAAAUCACAAUCCCAAAUGUACAAUAUUUUUCAAGAAAAUGAAAACUUAAAUAAAUUAUUUAAAAAUACAAAAUAUUGAUGAAAAAUUCUUAAAGAAUACUCAUCUAUCCAAAAAUAUUCCUGUUAUCCUAAUUUAUAAAUCACAAUCCCAAAUGUACAAUAUUUUUCAAGAAAAUGAAAACUUAAAUAAAUUAUUUAAAAAUACAAAAUAUUGAUGAAAAAUUCUUAAAGAAUACUAAUCUAUCCACAAAUAUUAUUGGUAUCCUAAUUUAUUACUCACAAACUCAAAUCAACAAUAUUUCUCAAGAAAAGGAAAACUUUUCAAAAAUAACAGUUUUUAAGUAAAUUAUUUUAAAAUACAACCUAUUGAUGAAAAAAUCAUAAAUAAUACUCAUCUAUCCACAAAUAUUCUUGUUAUCUUAAUUUAAAAAUCACAAACCCAAAUCUACAAUAUUUCUCAAAAAAAAAAUGAAAACUUUCCAAAAAUAGCAGUUUUGAUUAAAAUUAUUUAAAUAUAUACAACCUAUUGAUGAAAAAUUCUUAAAGAAUACUCAUCUAUCCACAAAUAUUCUUGUUAUCUUAAUUUAUAAAUCAUAAUCCUAAAUCUACAACAUUUCUCAAGAAAAUGAAAACUUUCCAAAAAUAGCAGUGUUUAAGUAAAUUAUUUUAAAAUACAACCUAUUGAUGAAAAAUUCUUAAAGAAUACUCAUCUAUCCACAAAUAUUCUUGUUAUCUUAAUUUAUAAAUCAUAAUCCUAAAUCUACAACAUUUCUCAAGAAAAUGAAAACUUUCCAAAAAUAGCAGUGUUUAAGUAAAUUAUUUUAAAAUACAACCUAUUGAUGAAAAAUUCUUAAAGAAUACUCAUCUAUCCACAAAUAUUCUUGUUAUCUUAAUUUAUAAAUCAUAAUCCUAAAUCUACAACAUUUCUCAAGAAAAUGAAAACUUUCCAAAAAUAGCAGUGUUUAAGUAAAUUAUUUUAAAAUACAACCUAUUGAUGAAAAAUUCUUAAAGAAUACUCAUCUAUCCACAAAUAUUCUUGUUAUCUUAAUUUAUAAAUCAUAAUCCUAAAUCUACAACAUUUCUCAAGAAAAUGAAAACUUUCCAAAAAUAGCAGUGUUUAAGUAAAUUAUUUUAAAAUACAACCUAUUGAUGAAAAAUUCUUAAAGAAUACUCAUCUAUCCACAAAUAUUCUUGUUAUCUUAAUUUAUAAAUCAUAAUCCUAAAUCUACAACAUUUCUCAAGAAAAUGAAAACUUUCCAAAAAUAGCAGUGUUUAAGUAAAUUAUUUUAAAAUACAACCUAUUGAUGAAAAAUUCUUAAAGAAUACUCAUCUAUCCACAAAUAUUCUUGUUAUCUUAAUUUAUAAAUCAUAAUCCUAAAUCUACAACAUUUCUCAAGAAAAUGAAAACUUUCCAAAAAUAGCAAUUUUUAAGAAAAUUAUUUAAAAAUACAACAUAUUGAUGUACAAUAUUUCUCAAGAAAAUGAAAACUUUCCAAAAAUAGCAGUGUUUAAGUAAAUUAUUUUAAAAUACAACCUAUUGAUGAAAAAUUCUUAAAGAAUAUUCAUCUGUCCACAAAUAUUCUUGGUAUGCUAAUUUCUUACUCACAAACUCAAAUCAACAAUAUUUCUCAAGAAAAUGAAAACUUUCCAAAAAUAGCAGUGUUUAAGUAAAUUAUUUUAAAAUACAACCUAUUGAUGAAAAAUUCAUAAAUAAUACUCAUCUAUCCAUAAAAUUUUAUUUUAUCCUACUUUAUAAAUCAAAUAGCCAAAUCUACAAUAUUUCUCAAGAAAAUGAAAACUUUCCAAAAAUAGCAGUGUUUAAGUAAAUUAUUUUAAAAUACAACCUAUUGAUGAAAAAUUCUUAAAGAAUACUCAUCUAUCCAUAAAAUUUUAUUUUAUCCUACUUUAUAAAUCAAAUAGCCAAAUCUACAAUAUUUCUCAAGAAAAUGAAAACUUUCCAAAAAUAACACUUUUUAAGAAAGUUAUUUAAAAAUACAAUAUAUUGAUGAAAAAUUCGUAAAUAAUACUCAUAUAUCCAAAACUAUUCUUGUUAUCCUAAUUUAUAAAUUACAUACUCAAAUCUACAAUAUUUCUCAAAAAAUUGAAAACUUUCCAAAAAUAGCAGUUUUUAAGAAAAUUAUUUAUAUAUACAACCUAUUGAUAUAAAAUUCUUAAAGAAUACUCAUCUAUCCACAAUUAUUUUUUUAUCGUAAUUUAUAAUUCACAAAAAUAAAUCUACAAUAUUUCUCAAAAAAAUGAAAACUUUCCAAAAAUAGCAAUUUUUAAGAAAAUUAUUUAUAUAUACAACCUAUUGAUAUAAAAUUCUUAAAGAAUAC
rnacentral:lncRNA from 1 species